AGUGAACGCUGGCGGUAGGCCUAACACAUGCAAGUCGAACGGCAGCACAGUAAGAGCUUGCUCUUACGGGUGGCGAGUGGCGGACGGGUGAGGAAUACAUCGGAAUCUACUUUUUCGUGGGGGAUAACGUAGGGACACUUACGCUAAUACCGCAUACGACCUACGGGUGAAAGCAGGGGAUCUUCGGACCUUGCGCGAUUGAAUGAGCCGAUGUCGGAUUAGCUAGUUGGCGGGGUAAAGGCCCACCAAGGCGACGAUCCGUAGCUGGUCUGAGAGGAUGAUCAGCCACACUGGAACUGAGACACGGUCCAGACUCCUAAGGGAGGCAGCAGUGGGGAAUAUUGGACAAUGGGCGCAAGCCUGAUCCAGCCAUACCGCGUGGGGGAAGAAGGCCUUCGGGUUGUAAAGCCCUUUUGUUGGGAAAGAAAAGCAGCAGGUUAAUACCCCGCUGUUCUGACGGUACCCAAAGAAUAAGCACCGGCUAACUUCGUG
rnacentral:rRNA from 1 species